AGAACAAGUUGUCCUAUCGCCUUAUCUCCCGAUAAGGAGGAAAGUCCGGGCAACACAGAGCGCCAUACUUCCUAACGGGAAGGCAGUCGCCGGGCGACCGGCGGCUGACAGACAGUGCCACAGAAAAUAUACCGCCGCAACAGGUUCGGGGUAGCUGAUACUCCGGCCUCGCGGUAAGGGUGAAAUGGUAGUGUAAGAGACUACCGCUUUGCCGGUGACGGCGAAGGCACGGAAAACCUUAUGGGUUGAAAGGCCAAAUAGGUGUCGGAAGGGGCUGCUCGCUCCGUGUCGGACCGCAUGGUACGACGCCGGCAUGGGUAGGUCGUUAGAGGCUGCGGGUGACCGUAGCCCGAGAUAAAUGAUAGGGCUAUAUUCCGAUAUAGUAACAGAACCCGGCUUACAGACUUGUUCUUCUC
rnacentral:RNase_P_RNA from 2 species